GCUGGGCAUGGUGGCGCGUGCCUGUAAUCCCAGCUACUCAGGAGGCUGAGGCAGGAGAAUUGCCUGAACCCGGGAGGCGGAGGUUGCGGUGAGCCGAGAUCCUGCCAUUGCACUCCAGCCUGGGUAACAAGACUAAAACUCUGUCUCAAAAAAAAAAAGAGUUUCCUAAAUGUUGGUAGUAUAGAGGAAAGUAUGGAGUAAAUAAUGUUUUGUUUUGUUUUUUAAUUGACAUGGAGUCUCACUCUGUCUCCCAAGCUGGAGUGCAGUGGCAAGAUCUUGGCUCACUGCACACUUCAGCCCCUGGGUUCCAGCAAUUCUCCUGCCUCAG
rnacentral:SRP_RNA from 1 species